UCUCUGUCCAUCCCAACUCUAAGAGCGAUUUCCAUCACAUUUUUGGUGGUUGUAGGGCACUGUUUAGGUUCUUGCUAUGAGGUACUGUUAGAGCGUUCUAGUGGGUUGUGCUGCUCAACUUCAAGAUAAGGGGAGCUGGAUCUUGCUUUCUGUUCUGUAGAUUAAAAUGAUACAUGGUGGUGCCUUGUUGGUGUGUAGAAUGAUUGCAUGGUAGCUCAGUCUUGGGGG
rnacentral:sRNA from 1 species